CCUACGGGAGGCAGCAGUGGGGAAUUUUGGACAAUGGGCGCAAGCCUGAUCCAGCCAUGCCGCGUGCGGGAAGAAGGCCUUCGGGUUGUAAACCGCUUUUGUCAGGGAAGAAAAGGUUCUGGAUAAUACCUGGGACUCAUGACGGUACCUGAAGAAUAAGCACCGGCUAACUACGUGCCAGCAGCCGCGGUAAUACGUAGGGUGCAAGCGUUAAUCGGAAUUACUGGGCGUAAAGCGUGCGCAGGCGGUUAUGCAAGACAGAGGUGAAAUCCCCGGGCUCAACCUGGGAACUGCCCUUGUGACUGCAUAGCUAGAGUACGGUAGAGGGGGAUGGAAUUCCGCGUGUAGCAGUGAAAUGCGUAGAUAUGCGGAGGAACACCGAUGGCGAAGGCAAUCCCCUGGACCUGUACUGACGCUCAUGCACGAAAGCGUGGGGAGCAAACAGGAUUAGAUACCCUGGUAGUCCACGCCCUAAACGAUGUCAACUGGUUGUUGGGAGGGUUUCGUUCUCAGUAACGAAGCUAACGCGUGAAGUUGACCGCCUGGGGAGUACGGCCGCAAGGUUGAAACUCAAAUGAAUUGACGGCUGGNGAGNGCGACGACGACGACGAGGGAGGAGG
rnacentral:rRNA from 1 species